CCCCUAUUCACCUUAUUUUCCAUGGCAACAACGGUGCCGCCAUUGCGCUCGUUUUGUCAUCUUACUUCCGGCUGAGGGACCGGACGUAACGUACCUAAGCUAAUGGCUAGAUAACAGAACGCCAAUAUAUCAAGUAUUAUAUGCUUAGUUAGGGGCUGCAUAACAAUUGUAUUAAAAAAAAACAAUUGCACCAACGAUGUAGCGAACACAUUGUGAAGCGGUCGGAGUGUUGUGGUGCACUUUACAAUUUACACCCACCACCUAAAGAAGAGAAGCACCUGAGGAAAUGGAUGAAGGCGCUAAAUUUGAAGCGCCCACCCAAGCGCUCUUAUGUGUAUUCGUACCAUUUCAUGGACGGGAAGGCGAAUGACGAACACCCUUACCCCGAGAAAUGGCUCGACUACGAUGUUCCGUUAAAGAGGUCACGCCGGGGGAUAAAAAGGUUGUCAGAUUCGGAUGUAUCGAUGGCCGCCAGUGAUGCAGUGGACAACUGUGAGGGUGAUCAGAUCCACAUGCCCCUGAUCUUGCUUAAAGUCACCAGAAGUUACCUGCUGUAAUAAGUUAUUUUUAUGAACCUUUACAGUGUCAC